rnacentral:rRNA from 1 species
AGCAGGGCAGUACUAUCAUCAGAUAUAAACCCAAAUAACAUGGCGGUAACUAUAAGCAUUAGGGGAACUUACCAUAUAAAUGAUACUCCCCACGUAAAUUAACUCUAAGUAAUAUUUUGUAUGCCGCCGUCGUCAGGUAAAAUUUAAUAUAAUUACCAAGAUAGCGUCCAUAAAAAGACAGGUCAAGGUGCAAACUAUCUUAAAGACAUGGCGAGUUACAUUAGUAAUUUUCUUCCACCAACCUAUGAAAAACUUCUACUGGCCGGACUUAAAAGUAAGUUAUAUUAAAAUUGUUAACUGAAUAAAUAUAUA